rnacentral:lncRNA from 1 species
CUUCCAUAAGGGAAGGUUCUCUACCUGGGGUUUCUUCCUUUUGGAGUGUUUAGUAAGGCCCUGAUCCUUAGGAUAGCACGUUAACUCAAGAAGCACCAAAGAGCAAAAAUCUUACUGGAGAAGGAUAAUUGCAACGACUCUCCAAGGGCUCACUGUUCUUCCACCCAUCAGUAGAUGCAGUGCUGAGGAGAUAAGGAGUUUCGUCUUCACGGACCCUGAGGACUUCCGUGUGUUUCUUCAGCAUUUCUAACCAUCUCAUGGCUUGAGCGGGGAUGGAGGCCCACUCAGGGCUGUUGCUCUGGAGAACAAAGCCAAAGCCUGGG